UACGUAGGGUGCGAGCGUUAAUCCGAAUUACUGGGCGUAGAGCGUGCGCAGGCGGCUUUGCAAGACAGAUGUGAAAUCCCCGGGCUCAACCUGGGAACUGCAUUUGUGACUGCAAGGCUAGAGUACGGCAGAGGGGGAUGGAAUUCCGCGUGUAGCAGUGAAAUGCGUAGAUAUGCGGAGGAACACCGAUGGCGAAGGCAAUCCCCUGGGCCUGUACUGACGCUCAUGCACGAAAGCGUGGGGAGCAAACAGG
rnacentral:rRNA from 1 species